UACGUAGGUGGCAAGCGUUGUCCGGAAUUAUUGGGCGUAAAGCGCGCGCAGGCGGUCCUUUAAGUCUGAUGUGAAAGCCCACGGCUCAACCGUGGAGGGUCAUUGGAAACUGGGGGACUUGAGUACAGAAGAGGAAAGCGGAAUUCCACGUGUAGCGGUGAAAUGCGUAGAGAUGUGGAGGAACACCAGUGGCGUAGGCGGCUUUCUGGUCUGUAACUGACGCUGAGGCGCGAAAGCGUGGGGAGCAAACAGG
rnacentral:rRNA from 1 species